UCUCUCUCUCUCUCUCUCUCUCUCUCUGUAGGUCGACGUCUGGUCAUAGGAGAAAGAGGAGAUACAGAUCAGGUAAAGAAGACCCGAAGAACAAACUGAAAGACAAAACCAGAAAGAGGUCCCCAUUAGAGUCCCCCAGUAGGACGUCUCAGCGUAGAGGCAGCUGCUGUAGCUCCCACAGUGCAUCACUCUCCUCCACAGGCCACAGCCCCUCCAAGUCCCUCGGCAGGCCCAACUCCAAGCACAAGACAGAAGGACACAAGGCCUGUGUGAGCCCUUCCCCGUCUCCCGGUCCUGACGGUCCUGUCACGUGGCACAACGGGCACCACCACCAAAGCGACCGCGGCUGCAACGGCAAGGCGGGCAGACUCAACAGCCACGCGGUCGAGGAGGACAAGGAGCAAGAUAAGCUGAGAAUGCUGACUGCUGUUUCUCCGGGAGCCCAGUCGACCAUGAUACUGCCACAACUGAGAGGAGGAGAGAACAAGGCCCACACUGCCCUCUACAGGGCCCCAGGAAGUACUGCUGCCCAGGCUGGAGAGGCCCUACAUGGGGAGGACAGGCAGACUACGGACCUGGGGUCGUCAGGGAGAUGGGGAGGUCACAGAGGUCACAGAGUCCAGGGGAAGCGCUCCCAUUCGCCGACUCACAGCAGUGACUCCGCCCACUCUCAACAUAACCUGCAUCCUCACAGAGAAAAGAGCUCUCACCAGAAGAAGACUAAAAGAUCCCACUCUUCCAAGCGUCACCGCCGUGGGGGUCGGGGACAGGCCCAUCACCAGAGGCUGUCUGCAUCCCCAGGGCGGCACCACCAUGCGUCUGGGUCAGGCACCAAGAAGAGUGAGUCUCGGGGGCGGGGCGGUGUCGGUGUCCGCCAGCGCAGCAGCUCCUGGAGCUCAGGACGGUCCUCAUCAUGCUCUGCCUCCAGAGAGAGAGCCCCCAGCAAGGCCAAGUCCCUCCACAUCCAUGCCAGACAGAACAAUUCCAGUUUUUCCGCUAAGGACAGAGAUAGUCCUCACCACUCUGACGCUGACCGUGCUCACCGUCGUUCCAGGAGCUACUCUCCCAUCAGGAAGAGGAGACGAGACUCUCCCAGCUUCAUGGAGGCUCGCAGGAUCACCAGCGCUCGGAAGCGGCCUAUCCCGUACUACCGCCCCAGCCCUUCCUCCUCCAGUUCCAUGUCAAGCCCCUCCCAUUCAGGGAGGAGUCGCAGCCGCAGCUACAGCUGCAGUCACAGCCACACCAGGAGCCACAGCCGCUCACGCAGCCCCAGGAGCCACAGCCGCUCACGCAGCCCCAGGAGCCACAGCAACUACAGUCGCAGCAGCUAUGAAAGCCCCGGCUUCUGAUGAGAGAGAGACAGAGAGAGGGGGAGUUGGGGGGGGAGAGAGAGAGAGAUAGAUGGGGGAGAACAGCAGGAGAGAUUGAGGGAGAGAGAGGGGGAGGGAGAUAAAUCAUGUUAUGCGUCCCUGAUUGGUCCAAACACAGGGUCAGACCUUCUCUGUUUUUUCUACCAUCCUCAGUCUCCAUCUCUGAAUACCAGCGUUAACCAGAGCCUGGAUCUGAAAUAUCCAUUUGUCUUCACACAGGCACAAUUUAAAAUAACAUUUUUCAGAUCAUGCUUUUAGAAAAUAAUUGAUAAAGAACUAUUCUGUAAGCACUUUCUCUAUAUGUUUCUGCAUAGCAAAAGUAAACCCCCCAAAAAAAAAAAAAAUGUUCCAGCAUUGGGACACUUCCACGGAGUUUGUCAAAGAAGAUGAAAAGAAGAGAUACAAGUGAAAGAAAUCAAAUCAAAUCAAACAGCACUGGGAAAUUCUUCCUCCAAUGUCAUGACGUAAUUUCCCCAAAGACACUUAUGCUUAGGAACCAGAGAGAUCAAAACAGAUGCGAUAAAGAACAAAAGAAAAGAUGGCUGAUGAUUUAGCAUGCAGAAGGGAACUGAUAUAUCAGGAUGUAUAGAUGAUUCUAAACUGUAAGUUCUGGCUUGUAAACUAUGCACUGUAUAUUCUAUGUGAUUUUUUUUGGAAGAGGCUUGUUAUUUGAUGGUGACUUCGCAUGAUGAUGCAACAGAAAGGAGGAAGACUGCUGCUUGUACCAGAGAGCUGCCUGCGACUACAGGACUACAGGUCCCAGGGUGCAUCUGUCCCUGCCCCUGCCACUACAGGACUACAGGUCCCAGGGUGCAUCUGUCCCUGCCCCUGCCACUACAGGACUACAGGUCCCAGGGUGCAUCUGUCCCUGCCCCUGCCAUUACAGGACUACAGGUCCCAGGGUGCAUCUGUCCCUGCCCCUGCCACUACAGGACUACAGGUCCCAGGGUGCAUCUGUCCCUCCCCCUGCCAUUAUAGGACUACAGGUCCCAGGGUGCAUCUGUCCCUGCCCCUAUUCUGACUUGGGGCACAUUCAGAUAGAAGUAUGCUAUGUAGAACAAACAUGGAUCUCUGAGAUGUAGAAUAAGGAAUCACGUCGGCCCUAUUUGUGGUAUUUAUAUCUGAAACGAUCGAGAACAUUUUGUUACCGAACAUGGCCCUGACAUUCCUGACCUGUAAUCACACACUGAGGCAAAAAAAAAACAAGGGACAGAUGUUUGAUUAUCAUGUACUUUUUCCUCUCUUCCUUAUUCCACUAUUUAUUAUGUCCAGACCUCUUGCUCAAUGACCAGUGAUGUGAAGUCGCUCUGGAAAGAUGCUCUUUCUAAAGAUAUUUUCUGCAAAAGCAUCCAUGCGAUCAUGUGGGUCUAUCUUUUAUCCACAGCUAUUUGUUCAGUUAUUUAUUCCAAUUAUUUAUCUAUUUCUUAUGUUAUUUAUUUGUUUAUUUAUUUGAUUAUUUAUUUGUUUUUUUGUCUCAUCGAAUGUUUUUAAAAACACUUUGAAGAACCGUGUUGUUGAGAUCUUAAUAUUUAAUGGGAGAUAGAAUUGCUGCAUAUGAACACGUUUUCAUCUAUGAACAAACAGAACGUCAAUUGUUUUAACCCAAAUCCUUUUUUUUGUCAUGAAAACUUCUGCUUCCUUUAAUAGCUUGUUGCUAUGGGGACCGGGUUUUCAAUCCCUUGAUGUAUAAUGCUCUUACACAGGGUUACUUAGAGGGACUGUUACCUGUCUGUCUGUCUCCUGGUGCAGGGGAUGCCUAGUUACAGUCUUAGAGGGGCUGUUACCUGUCUGUCUGUCUCCUGGUGCAGGGGAUGCCUAGUUACAGUCUUAGAGGGGCUGUUACCUGUC
ensembl:lncRNA